UGGGGAAUAUUGCACAAUGGGGGAAACCCUGAUGCAGCGACGCCGCGUGAGUGAAGAAGUAUUUCGGUAUGUAAAGCUCUAUCAGCAGGGAAGAAGAAAGACGGUACCUGACUAAGAAGCCCCGGCUAACUACGUGCC
rnacentral:rRNA from 1 species